rnacentral:rRNA from 1 species
UACAGAGGGGGCGAGCGUUAUUCGGAAUUAUUGGGCGUAAAGGGCGCGUAGGCGGCUUUUCAAGUGGCGGGUGAAAUCCCUCGGCUUAACCGAGGAACUGCCUGCCAGACUGGAUUGCUUGAGUCCGGGAGAGGUGAGUGGAAUUCCCAGUGUAGCGGUGAAAUGCGUAGAUAUUGGGAGGAACACCAGUGGCGAAGGCGGCUCACUGGACCGGAACUGACGCUGAGGUGCGAAAGCGUGGGGAGCAAACAGG